rnacentral:rRNA from 1 species
ACUCCUACGGGAGGCAGCAGUGGGGAAUUUUUCGCAAUGGGCGCAAGCCUGACGAAGCAACGCCGCGUGGAGGAUGAAGGUCUUCGGAUUGUAAACUCCUGUCGACCGGGACGAAUGCACUCGACCUAAUACGUCGGAAUGUUGACGGUACCGGUGGAGGAAGCCACGGCUAACUCUGUGCCAGCAGCCGCGGUAAU